AUGGCGAGUAGAAUACGCUGCCAGUUAGCCACUAAUUUGAAGCCAAAUUUAUCCACCGUUGGAGGUCUACCGAGCACCUUUUCUUGCAUCUCCUCUGCUGAUUUUGCUGCGGACAAGCCAGAGAUGAAAGGUGUGUCAUUCCUUCUACAUGUCCUCCUCUUCCUUAGCUUGGGCCUUGCACCCCUAUGUAGCAGGGGAGUCGAAGAUCAAUUUGUCUACUCCGGCUUCACUGGGACAAACCUCACCCUGGACGGCGCCGCCAUGGUCACAGCGGACGGACUCCUCAAGGUGACCAACGGCACGGUUAACCUCUACGGCCAUGCAUUCCACCCAACCCCCCUGCGUUUCUGCAAGUCGCCCAAUGGUAGGGUGCGGUCCUUCUCUGUGUCUUUCGUGUUCGGCAUCAGCUCUGUCUAUCGUGAGACGAGUGUUGACGGAAUGGCCUUCUUCAUCUCCUCGAGGAACCAUUUCUCCAAUGUGCUUGCAAACCAGUUCCUGGGCCUCCUCAAUGACAAGAACAAUGGUAACUCCAGCAACCAUAUAUUUGCAGUCGAGAUCGACACCUUCCAAAACACUGAGCUGAAGGACAUCAACGACAAUCACGUCGGUAUCGACAUCAACAGUGUCCGCUCCGUGCAAUCGCGCCCUGCUGGCUUCUAUGAUGAUAUGGGCAUCUUCAGCAACUUGAGCCUAAAUAGCGGUGAAGCUAUGCAGGUAUGGGUGGACUACGAUGAAGGGGCCACACAGAUUAGUGUGACCAUUGCUCCACUGAGAGUAGUGGUCAAACCAGCCAAGCCAUUGGUCUCGGCCACCUAUGAUCUAUCACAAGUACUUGUGGAUCCAGCUUAUGUUGGUUUCUCGUCUUCGACUGGCCCGAUCAGCACACAAUACAUCGUGCUUGGGUGGAGUCUCAGCAUGGAUGGCCCCGCUCCGGUCAUUGACACCGCCAAAUUGCCAAAGCUACCUCAACUUGUUCUGAAGAAUACUCAGUCCAGAGUCUUGAAGAUCGUCCUUCCAAUAGCUACUGCAGCACUGGUGCUUGCUCUGGGAACUACCAUCCUUCUGAUCAUACGGAGGCGACUAAGGUACGCCGAGCUGCGCGAGGAUUGGGAAGCCGAGUUCGGACCACAUCGGUUCUCAUAUAAAGAUAUGUUCCUUGCAACAGAGGGGUUCAAGAACAAGCACCUGCUUGGUACAGGAGGGUUCGGGAAGGUGUACAAAGGAGUUCUCCCGACAUCCAAACUAGAUGUUGCCGUAAAGAAGUUGUCCCAUGAACUGAAGCAGGGCAUGAAGGAGUUCGUCUCUGAAGUUGUAAGCAUUGGCCGCCUUCGGCACCGUAACCUCGUGCAGCUACUCGGCUAUUGUCGAAGAAACCAUGAACUCCUCUUGGUGUAUGACUACAUGCCAAAUGGCAGCCUUGAUAGGUAUCUGUACUGUGAUGAAGAGGGCAAGCGACCCACUUUGGGCUGGGACCAGAGGUUUGCGAUCAUCAAAGGUGUUGCAUGUGGCUUGCUCUACUUGCACGAGAAGUGGGAGAAAGUUGUCGUCCAUCGGGACAUCAAGGCGAGCAAUGUGCUCCUGGACAGUGAGAUGAAUGCACGGCUAGGCGACUUCGGUCUCGCAAGAUUAUACGACCACGGUACGAACCCGCAGACAACACAUGUGGUUGGAACGGUGGGGUACCUAGCACCUGAGCUGACACAAACAGGUAAAGCGUCCCCUCCUACAGACGUCUUUGCCUUCGGCGCAUUCCUUCUCGAAGUUGUUUGCGCGCAAAGGCCCAUCAAGCAGGACGCGCAAGGCAACCGGCUCAUGCUGGUCAACUGGGUUCUUCAACAUUGGCACAAUGGGUCGCUCAUGGAGACGGCGGACAAGAGGUUACAAGGCGACUGCGGCACAGUCAAAGAUGAGGUCUGUCUUGUGUUAAAAGUAGGUCUCCUGUGCUUGCAUCCUUUCCCUGCUUCAAGGCCCAGCAUGCGACGGGUGCUCCAGUACCUUGAUAAUGACGUGCCACUGCCGGAGUUGGCACCAACACAUUUGGGCUUCAGCAUGCCGCCUUGGAUGCAAGGCAAAGCAGGAUCCAUGCCAUACCUGCAGCUCGAGAGCACGAGCAUCGGCACGAUCUCGGGCCUCUCGGGAGGACGAUGA
rnacentral:rRNA from 1 species